rnacentral:ribozyme from 1 species
AAUAAUUAAAUAGCCCUGCACCGAGAUGGGAUCCGAAGCCUCCUGAAGAUUCUAUCCAACUCUUAUUCCGACACAUCCACGUCGUGCGGGGUGGUAACAUGGGCCUAAACCUAAUCUUUUGGGCGGAUGACGGAUCAUGGCUAUGUAGGAAGGU